rnacentral:rRNA from 1 species
CCUACGGGAGGCAGCAGUGAGGAAUAUUGGUCAAUGGACGCAAGUCUGAACCAGCCAUGCCGCGUGCAGGAAGACGGCUCUAUGAGUUGUAAACUGCUUUUGUACGAGGGUAAACGCAGAUACGCGUAUCUGUCUGAAAGUAUCGUACGAAUAAGGAUCGGCUAACUCCGUGCCAGCAGCCGCGGUAAUACGGAGGAUUCAAGCGUUAUCCGGAUUUAUUGGGUUUAAAGGGUGCGUAGGCGGGACGGUAAGUCAGCGGUAAAAAUGCGGAGCUCAACUCCG